rnacentral:rRNA from 1 species
GGACUACCCGGGUUUCUAAUCCUGUUUGCUCCCCUAGCUUUCGCAGAUCAGCGUCAGUGGCGACCCAGAAGCCUGCUUUCGCCUUAGGUGUUCCUCCCGAUCUCUACGCAUUUCACCGCUACACCGGGAGUUCCAGCUUCCUCUGUCGCACUCGAGCACGGUAGUUUCCCUUGACCUCUCCCAGUUGAGCCGGGAGCUUUCACAAGAGACUUACCGCACCGCCUACCCGCACUUUACGCCUAGUGAUUCCGAGUAACGCUUGCCACCUACGUAUUACCGCGGCGGCUGGCAC